rfam:Tarsius syrichta, whole genome shotgun sequence
GCCGGGCAUGGUAGCGCAUGCCUGUAAUUCCAGCUACUCGGAAGGCUGAGGCGGAAGGAUCGCCGGAGCCCAGCAGGUCGAGGCUGCAGUGGCCGGGAGCGGCCACUGCACUCCAGUCUGGGCAACAGAGGGAGACUCCACCUCAA